UACGAAGGGGGCUAGCGUUGUUCGGAAUUACUGGGCGUAAAGCGCACGUAGGCGGUUCGUUAAGUCAGGGGUGAAAUCCCAGAGCUCAACUCUGGAACUGCCUUUGAUACUGGCGACCUAGAGUCCGGAAGAGGUUAGUGGAAUUCCCAGUGUAGAGGUGAAAUUCGUAGAUAUUGGGAAAAACACCAGUGGCGAAGGCGGCUAACUGGUCCGGUACUGACGCUGAGGUGCGAAAGCGUGGGGAGCAAACAGG
rnacentral:rRNA from 1 species